rnacentral:rRNA from 1 species
AGUGAACGCUGGCGGUAGGCCUAACACAUGCAAGUCGAACGGCAGCACAGUAAGAGCUUGCUCUUCCGGGUGGCGAGUGGCGGACGGGUGAGGAAUACAUCGGAAUCUACUUUUUCGUGGGGGAUAACGUAGGGAAACUUACGCUAAUACCGCAUACGACCUACGGGUGAAAGCAGGGGAUCUUCGGACCUUGCGCGAUUGAAUGAGCCGAUGUCGGAUUAGCUAGUUGGCGGGGUAAAGGCCCACCAAGGCGACGAUCCGUAGCUAGUCUGAGAGGAUGAUCGGCCACACUGGAACUGGGACACGGUCCAGACGCCUACGGGAGGCAGCAGUGGGGAAUAUUAGACAAUGGGCGCAAGCCUGAUCCAGCCAUACCGCGUGGGUGAAGAAGGCCUUCGGGUUGUAAAGCCCUUUUGUUGGGAAAGAAAAGCAGCAGGUUAAUACCCCGCUGUUCUGACGGUACCCAAAGAAUAAGCACCGGCUAACUUCGUG